rnacentral:rRNA from 1 species
GACGAACGCUGGCGGCGUGCUUAACACAUGCAAGUCGAACGGAAAGGCCUUGCUUUUGUGGGGUGCUCGAGUGGCGAAAGGGUGAGUAACACGUGAGUAACCUGCCCUUGACUUUGGGAUAACUUCAGGAAACUGGGGCUAAUACCGGAUAGGAGCUCCUGCUGCAUGGUGGGGGUUGGAAAGUUUCGGCGGUUGGGGAUGGACUCGCGGCUUAUCAGCUUGUUGGUGGGGUAGUGGCUUACCAAGGCUUUGACGGGUAGCCGGCCUGAGAGGGUGACCGGCCACAUUGGGACUGAGAUACGGCCCAGACUCCUACGGGAGGCAGCAGUGGGGAAUAUUGCACAAUGGGCGGAAGCCUGAUGCAGCAACGCCGCGUGCGGGAUGACGGCCUUCGGGUUGUAAACCGCUUUCGCCUGUGACGAAGCGUGAGUGACGGUAAUGGGUAAAGAAGCACCGGCUAACUACGUG